GAUGAAGAACGUAGCGAAAUGCGAUACUUGGUGUGAAUUGCAGAAUCCCGUGAACCAUCGAGUCUUUGAACGCAAGUUGCGCCCGAAGCCAUUAGGCCGAGGGCACGCCUGCCUGGGCGUCACACGUCGUUGCCCCCCCAUCUACUCCUUCGGGAUUGCGGGGGGCGGAUGAUGGCCUCCCGUGCGCCUCGUCGCGCGGUUGGCAUAAAUGCCAAGUCCUCGGCGACGCACGCCACGACAAUCGGUGGUUGCGAAACCUCGGUUGCCCGUCGUGUGCGGUCGUCGCGCAUCGAGGGCUCGAAAAAAUCGCCGGGCUCCGGCUCGGCUUUCAACGCGACCCCAGGUCAGGCGGGGUUACCCGCUGAAUUUAAGCAUAUCAAUAAGCGGAGG
rnacentral:misc_RNA from 1 species